CGGAGGGCAGGUGAGGGAGUGCCAGACUAGUCUGGGAGACUAGGGGUCGGAGGUUCAAAUCCUCUCGCUCCGACCA
rnacentral:tRNA from 1 species